rnacentral:rRNA from 1 species
ACGAACGCUGGCGGCGUGCUUAACACAUGCAAGUCGAACGGAAAGGCCUCAGCUUGCUGGGGUACUCGCGUGGCGAACGGGUGAGUAACACGUGGGUGAUCUGCCUUGCACUCUGGGAUAAGCUUGGGAAACUGGGUCUAAUACCGGAUAUGAACUGCCUUUAGUGUGGUGGUUGGAAAGUUUUUUCGGUGCAAGAUGAGCUCGCGGCCUAUCAGCUUGUUGGUGGGGUAAUGGCCUACCAAGGCGUCGACGGGUAGCCGGCCUGAGAGGGUGUACGGCCACAUUGGGACUGAGAUACGGCCCAGACUCCUACGGGAGGCAGCAGUGGGGAAUAUUGCACAAUGGGCGGAAGCCUGAUGCAGCGACGCCGCGUGGGGGAUGACGGCCUUCGGGUUGUAAACUCCUUUCGACAGGGACGAAGCUUUUUGUGACGGUACCUGUAUAAGAAGCACCGGCUAACUACGUG